UACAUGGGGUGCAAACGUUGCUCGGAAUUAUUGGGCGUAAAGCGCACGUAGGCGGUCCGUUAAGUCAGAUGUGAAAGCCCCCCGGCUCAACCGGGGGAAGUGCAUCUGAAACUGGCGGGCUAGAGUACGAAAGAGGGUCGCGGAAUUCCCGGUGUAGAGGUGAAAUUCGUAGAUAUCGGGAGGAACACCGGUGGCGAAGGCGGCGACCUGGGUCGAUACUGACGCUGAGGUGCGAAAGCGUGGGGAGCAAACAGG
rnacentral:rRNA from 1 species